AACUUUGUUUUUUUUAGAAAAAAAGAGUCGAGAGUAGAGAAGUAAAUAUUAAAUAUAAAAUAAAUAUAACAGUAGAGAAGAGAGUAGAGAUAGCAGGGACGAGAAAAUAUCUAGUGCUACCAUCCAUGGGAUGAUACGCUGCUCCAGGGAUGGAUGGUAUGUCAGAUUUGAAAUAAAGGGGCAGGAUCAAGUCACUGAUGCAUUUACACAUGGCCCCUUGGAACAUUUGCACCUUGCCCCUAGAAAGUAACAUGUCUUUGCAAAAUUGCCUUAGACAGUUCCGUUGGUUGUUUCUCCUGGACCAAAGCACAGUACGCCAAUCUCCAUCUGAGCUUGCACUUUUAAAUCCAGAAAAGAAUUAGGUCAAGAAACUGAAACUUUCAUAGAUAAUUACUCCCUCCGUCCCAUAAUGUAAGAUGUUUUUUGACACUAGUUAGCACGAGUACUAGGGCGAGAACAUACUAGAUCCAGCUGAAUUACAUGGCCACCAAGGCUAGUUACAGAUUCAGCUACUACAAGAUGCACUACACUCUGAGCACAAUUACAGAAUUAGAACCAAAGCUGACCAUGACAAUGCCCAGUACUAGAACGAACCAUUAAGUUGGUCGUGGCUUAUCAGCAGACUAACAACUAACUGAACUUGAGAGCUGCGAGCCAUGCAGUUUGCAGCAUGUACGCUCCCAUUGGUCAGCGCAAAUGCACACCUACAUGAUAAAAGCAAGAAUUAGGACCUAAAAAGCCUUUUGAAAACAACCCAAUCUUCUUCACCCUAAACCAUUUAAAAUAAUUGAACCAAUUCAUUUGUGUACUUAUAUCGAGAGGUCUGGUCCAAAGGAUGGGUACACACACAUGAGUAACCUGGUUUUAAGAACUCAGCACACCAACCCUGUUUUAGGGAAUCGGUACUAACCAUGUUCCCGUUACAUAGAAAAUGACAGAAUUAACCGUAAGUUCUUAUCAACAAACAACCAAACUUCUACAGGUUUUCUGUAAAUGAGAGGCAUAUAAGAAGAGUAACAAACCUUAGGUGAUUCAGUUCAAGUUAGCACAAUGUAAGCUUUCCAUUCCUGUGACACAACCGGUACAACAGAAAGUUAGAUGCCACUAGACCAGCAACCCACAAGCCAUACAAAAACAUGUACUCCACCAUCCCUGUGUAUAAAAAAACAAAAAGGAAGAAAUCACUAACAGAACAAAGAAUACUGACAGAAUCUACAUCAUACCACAUGUUUCAUAUGAAAUUUAAAUAGUUAUAUGGUGUCAGCUACAUUCUAUCAACUUCAAACUGCAAACUAAGUUUGAACUAGAUCCCAGUACUUGGAACAAACUCUAGCCUCAACUUGUGUUUGGAACAUCUCCAUAGACACAUGAUCUCAAGAAGAACACAAUGUUAGUUCUAUUACCACCGUACAACAUUAAAUAUGAGAAAUCUGCAAACACUUUUGGCAUGCCAAAUAACCUGCAUAUAUGUCGCAUCAUCUAAUUCUCCUGGUCGAUUUUACUGUUUCUUGACCUAUAAGAACAUGUAAAAGGAAAUAAUUUGUUGAACUACAAAACCAUGACAUGCUCACAACUAAGUGAGUUAUCUUCACCUCCUUUUCCUUUUCCCCCUCGUUGUCAGCUGUUUCUUGAACUAUUUCUACAUAGCUAACUAAGAAAGUAGCAGUCGAUAACUGCACAUGUAUUGAGUUCAGUGUACCAGGUACGAAAUUGUUGUUACUCACCCUCCAUGCCAUUGUUUCCUUUUUAGGAAUAUAAACAGUCCUAACUUCUUAUUUUACCCAUAAUAUUUGUUAAAAGUCAAAGAAGACACUAUAUUUUAUACUUGAGAAACACAGUCAUCCUGAAAAGGCAGGAAAAUAUUUAUAUAAGCCAGAUCAAACAUAUUACAUUGUCACAUGUUCCCAUACUUCUCCAAAUCCAAAAACUGAUGUGAGACAAGCAAUGCAUAGUUGUAGUUGUCCCCAAAGAUUUUUGGUCUGGUAGUAUGCGCCAUAAACCUCAUGAGAACAUAAAUGGCCAGUAAGUCAGUUUAUUACACCGUGAAAAACUAUUGAUCCGUCAAAAUUUUCUAGUUCCAGCUGCGGCGAUGUGAGAACAAGCACAUAGAUUUCCAGUACUCAGUGGUCUCAGUUUGACUGAGAGUUCAACCGGGAUUUCUGUUAGUCAAGCCUUGUUGAGCCUCAUUUGGCACGAAUUUUGUCAAUUACUCAAUCUAUAGACAUGACUCAGUAUAAGUCUAAAUGCCCACUUACGCUAGGCUGUACGUGUGGUUCUCAACUAACUGUAUGUAAGAAACAUUCUAGAAAACUUUAUAAGAAAGAUUAUGUGUAUUUACAUAGACAUGUUAUUGUUAGGAGAGGAAGUGUCAGUCGACAUUACAACACUGAUAGACAUUCUUCUAGUUCUUCAAAGAUUAAAAUACUUAUACAUAUCUCUGCUCUGAACUACCUUUACCAUCUAUUAGACUGAAUUGCUAGAUAAAUUUUUAUACUAAGGGCUACAUUGUGGGCAGCAAUUGACAAGCCAAUCUUUUAUUCUAAAAACAAGAUGUCUCGACGGACACUGAGAUUAAAGCAUGAACUAACCAUAUGAGCUCGGCUCCUCCCAUAUGUGUUGCACUUCCGACGAACGAGCCAUGGGCAAGAAUGGCGUACAACUCUAGAUUGGUCCAGAACUGCUAAUGCACGCAACAUCGCAGUUGGAGGUGGCAGAUCCUGCUGCAGCCGGCAGAAAAAUUGACCUGUACGGCUAUUGGACAUGCGCCAUGGUAGCCGUCGGUGCCAGCAGACAUGUGCCAUGGUAUACCACUGGACUGGCUCGGAUAGGAACCCCUCGAACGACACCGACUCCCGCAGCGCCGAUAUCCAGUCCUAAAACCAAUGAAUCAAAUCAGAAAUACAAACACCAAAAAAAAGGCCAAGAUACUGAAUAGUCUUCGGCUCGCGCGACUUGUUAGGCUUCAGCGGCGCGGGGAGGGGGGGUAAGGAGACUAACAGUGGAGGGGGCACGCACCAUGGUAGCCGGCGGCGGUAGGACAUGACCUAGGCGGCGGCGGUGGCGAAACAGGCCGUAUCGAGAAGAAAGGCCGAACAGAACAGAGCAAUAUCCACUUAGUCGCCGAAUUACAAAAUAGUCGAGGUGCCUCGUGCGUAAUUUCCAACGCGAACUGAGCUACUCAAUCAUGUGCCUCCAAUCCAGAUCCAACGGUCCACAUGAUCCUG
rnacentral:lncRNA from 1 species